rnacentral:rRNA from 1 species
GAUGAACGCUGGCGGCGUGCCUAACACAUGCAAGUCGAGCGAAGCACUUUGCUUAGAUUCUUCGGAUGAAGAGGAUUGUGACUGAGCGGCGGACGGGUGAGUAACGCGUGGGCAACCUGCCUCAUACAGGGGGAUAACAGUUAGACAUGACUGCUAAUACCGCAUAAGACCACAGCACCGCAUGGUGCGGGGGUAAAAACUCCGGUGGUAUGAGAUGGACCCGCGUCUGAUUAGCUAGUUGGUAAGGUAACGGCUUACCAAGGCGACGAUCAGUAGCCGACCUGAGAGGGUGACCGGCCACAUUGGGACUGAGACACGGCCCAAACUCCUACGGGAGGCAGCAGUGGGGAAUAUUGCACAAUGGGGGAAACCCUGAUGCAGCGACGCCGCGUGAGCGAAGAAGUAUUUCGGUAUGUAAAGCUCUAUCAGCAGGGAAGAAAAUGACGGUACCUGACUAAGAAGCACCGGCUAAAUACGUGCCAGCAGCCGCGGUAAUACGUAUGGUGCAAGCGUUAUCCGGAUUUACUGGGUGUAAAGGGAGCGUAGACGGAUGGGCAAGUCUGAUGUGAAAACCCGGGGCUCAACCCCGGGACUGCAUUGGAAACUGUUCAUCUAGAGUGCUGGAGAGGUAAGUGGAAUUCCUAGUGUAGCGGUGAAAUGCGUAGAUAUUAGGAGGAACACCAGUGGCGAAGGCGGCUUACUGGACAGUAACUGACGUUGAGGCUCGAAAGCGUGGGGAGCAAACAGG